rnacentral:rRNA from 1 species
GACGAACGCUGGCGGCGUGCUUAACACAUGCAAGUCGAACGAUGAAGGAGAGCUUGCUCUCCGGAUUAGUGGCGAACGGGUGAGUAACACGUGACUAACCUGCCCCUUCCUCUGGGAUAACGCGACGAAAGGAGUGCUAAUACCGGAUACGAUCUCUGGACGCAUGCUCGGAGUCGGAAAGUUCUUCGGAAAGGGAUGGAGGCGCGGCCUAUCAAGUUGUUGGUGAGGUAAUGGCUCACCAAGGCGACGAAGGGUAGCCGGCAUGGGAGGUCGAACGGCGACACUGGGACUGAGAGACGGCCCAGACUGCUACGGGAGGCAACGGGGGAGAAUAUUGCACAAUGGGCGAAAGCGUGAUGCAGCGACGCCGCGUGAGGGAUGAAGGUCUUCGGAUUGUAAACCUCUUUCGGUAGGGACGAAGCGAAAGUGACGGUACCUAAAGAAGAAGCACCGGCUAACUAUGUGCCAGCCGCCGCCGUAA